rnacentral:rRNA from 1 species
UCCACGCCGUAAACGAUGUCAACUAGCCGUUGGGAGACUUGAUCUCUUAGUGGCGCAGCUAACGCACUAAGUUGACCGCCUGGGGAGUACGGCCGCAAGGUUAAAACUCAAAUGAAUUGACGGGGGCCCGCACAAGCGGUGGAGCAUGUUGGUUUAAUUCGAUGCAACGCGAAGAACCUUACCAGGUCUUGACAUCCUGCGAAUUUUC